AAGUCGUAACAAGGUUUCCGUAGGUGAACCUGCGGAAGGAUCAUUAUUGAAUUUACAAAGGAGUUGUUGCUGGCCCUUAGCUGGGCAUGUGCACACUUCUUCCCCCCUUUAUACACCUGUGCACAACUGUAGGAAUAGAGCAUGAAGAGGGAGAGGGCUGGAUAACGGCCUGAUCUAUUAUUCUUGCUUGUUGUUUGAGGCUGAAACGGCUGGAUAACGGCCUGAUUGGUUUCUUGCAGUUCCUAUGUUUUAUACACCCUAUGUAUGUCUUUGAAUGUCUUGAAGCUGGAUUGCCUUAAAUAAGCAAUCACAGUGAUUAAUACAACUUUCAACAAUGGAUCUCUUGGCUCUC
rnacentral:misc_RNA from 1 species